CAGCUACUCCCUCCGUUCGGAAAUAUUUGUCAUUGAAAUGGAUGUAUCUAGAUGUAUUUUAGUUCUAGAUACAUCCGUUUUGAUGACAAAUAAUUCCGAACGAAGGGAGUAGUAC
rfam:Triticum aestivum genome assembly, contig: Triticum_aestivum_CS42_TGACv1_scaffold_177251_2DS